rnacentral:lncRNA from 1 species
CUGAAGGAUUGGAGUCCUGCAUUUGUUGAAGAACUCCAUGAAGGGUAGGUCCAGCAUUAAACGAAAGAUUAGGGCACUGUUUAUCUUUGCACUCAAUGAAUGAGAACAGGGCAAGAAAAAAAAGUUGGGAGCUGAUUUCGUUUGCACUGAAUGUGAUCGGGGGACCACCUACACAGUUGCCGACAGCAACCAUCGGAGAGGUCCAUGAGGUCGGCAACCUGCUCCGCCGCCGCCUCGUCGAACAGCCACUUCUCAAUCGAAGACAGCGGCGCCGCCGCCUGGUUCAUCAGCUGCUGCUUGCUCUCGUCGCCGUAGCCGCCGCCAUAGCCGCCGUACUCCAUAAACGACGACGCCGGCUGCUGCUGAUGAACGUCGAAGCAGCAGUCCAGGUCGGCGCCGGACAUGCAGUCGAAGGACGACAGCAAGGGGUUGCCGACGACAUCGACGGCGGGCUUGACGUCGUCGUAAUAGCCGCCGUCAUAGUGCUGCAGCGGCGGCGGCGGCGGCGACGGCGAGUUGGUCUUCAUGAAGCCGUCGAGCAGCUUGGAGAUGUUGUCCAUGCUGGAGGCGUAGGAGGAGGAUGGGCAGUCGGCGAAGGGGGAGCGCCUAGCAAUGGCUGCCAUCUGGUUGACAUCGGAGUUGCUGCUCACCGUGUGGCUGCCGGCGGCGGAGGGGAAGGUGGCGUCGGCGAAGAUGGGGUGGCGGUUGGAGGCUGCUGAAGUGGAGUUG